AUUGAACGCUGGCGGCAUGCUUUACACAUGCAAGUCGAACGGUAACAGGGUGCUUGCACCGCUGACGAGUGGCGAACGGGUGAGUAAUGCGUCGGAACGUGCCGAGUAGUGGGGGAUAACGCAUCGAAAGGUGUGCUAAUACGGCAUACGUACUGAGGUAGAAAGUGGGGGACCUUCGGGCCUCACGCUAUUCGGGCGGCCGACGUCUGAUUAGCUAGUUGGUGAGGUAAAGGCUGACCAAGGCGACGAUCAGUAGCGGGUCGGAGAGGAUGAUCAGCCAUAUGGGGAAUGAGACACGGCCCAGACUCCUACGGGAGGCAGCAGUGGGGAAUUUUGGACAAUGGGCGCAAGCCUGAUCCAGCCAUGCCGCGUGUCUGAAGAAGUCCUUCGGGUUGUAAAGGACUUUUGUCCGGGAGCAAAUACCCAGUGCUAAUAACGCUGGGGGCUGAGAGUACCGGAAGAAUAAGCACCGGCUAACUACGUGCCAGCAGCCGCAGUAA
rnacentral:rRNA from 1 species